rnacentral:rRNA from 1 species
UUGACUGGGGCGGUACAUCUCCAAAACGAUAACGGAGGUGUCCAAAGGUCAGCUCAGAGUGGACAGAAACCACCCGUUGAGCAUAAGGACAAAAGCUGGUUUGAUCCUAACGUUCAGUACACGCCGGGACAGCGAAAGCUUGGCCUUACGAUCCUUUUGGUAUAACGAGUUUUUAGCAAGAG